rnacentral:tRNA from 1 species
GCGUCGGUAGUUCAGUGGUAGAAUACUCGCCUGCCACGCGGGUGACCCGGGUUCGAUUCCCGGCCGACACA